CACAGAGUCUGAGUGACGAAGAACGAAAACUAGAUCCUGGUAACUGUCUCUGUCCCUGCGUCUAACAUGGGAACGUUACAGCAUAUUAUUGGUGGCAAGAAUCAUCACAAUACAGCCCUGGCCAGGAAAAAAUAAAGAAGGAUUGAUACAGAAGUUAAAUUAAAGACGCAUCCCCAGAGGGCCUUAGACAACACUUCAGCUGUAGGGUGUGGGAAGAUCUCGGUGAAAAAAAUCUCGAGGCUGGACUGAGUUGAUUUUCAAGAUCCAGGAUUGUGAGUUUGAGUCUGGAGAAUGGAUCACCUCAAACCUGUCAUCGGCCGUAAGCAAGUUGGAAAUAGCCAAGAGUUGCAAGCAUGUCGGGCAACAAUUAGUAGAGUCCAAAGGACAGUGGCAAGACUAAUUGCACUCCAAAAAGAAAGGUACACAAAAUUUCCUUCACCAGAAGAAGCAGCACAUUUCAACCAAAGGCAAUGUGUGGGUUGUUGGAGCUGCAGGGAGGCGGUGGCCAGUGGCUGUCUGACGAAGGAUAUCUUUAAUUCAUCGGGAUUCAGAUCUUGAGUUGAUGGGCCGACGAGAGUGACCAUAUCUGGAAGGCAUGGGUUGGACUCAGGACGAGGUGGAACCUAGCCGCCGCAUCAUGGAGUGUAAACACCUGGCGUGUUUUGAAUACAAAACACAGGGCAUCCUGGGUGCAGGCCGUGGUGUGGUAACAUCUUGUAUGUAUCCAUAAUUGUUGUCUCAGGUAUCUGACUUCCACCUAGCAAAUGAAUACCGAUGUAGCCUGUGAUUUGACGAGUGUAAAAAGGUACAAAUUGAUGAGAUGUGAGGUAAGGUUGUAUCACUGACUCAUGAUAACUGUUUGCCAGAGUAACUUACACCCCCAAGUGUUGACAGUGAUAAUAAUUACUGUACAUGAACAAUCUUGUGAUGGGUGUUUGACAAGUAGGGUUAAUAUGAGUAGCACUGUCAUGGUCACAAUAGCACGGCUAGCAUGUUCAACACUUAAUUAUUCAUAUUAUGCUCCACCGUCCACAAAUUAUGUGUGAAACUAAUGAGUUACCCCUAGAGAGAGAGAUGUGUUUUCCCAAACGAUAGGUGCCAUCCAUUUCCUCUUACACAUCCUGAAAUUUCUCUUACAAAGUUUAUUUAAAUUUAAGAGAUAAGGUUAUGAGUAGCCAUAAGUCAGAUAGACCUACAGUGGGAUAAAGCAUUCAAGGUGUAUUGAGUAUAUGUUGAAGGCAUCAUAUAUCUUUAUGUGUAGUGUACCCAACCGCCAGCUGAAAUCAGUUUGUUUCUCGUGAACUUACCGGAUAACAAUUCAAAACUGAAGUCAUAUCUUUUUGAUCUGAGCGCCUCAGAUAAUCCGAUAAGAGCAUUGAAAUUGUUAUCAGUUUUGUAUUUUAGAAAGUAAUUGAUCUUCUGAAAUAAAAACUUUCUACUUCUUAUUACCAAGAUCUAAAGGCAAAAUCUCUGUACAGUACCUCCUUGUUAGAAACUCCGCCCACAAUGUAGUUCCAUUCUGAGUACUUAACAUCAGUUUAAUUUCUUGCCUUUGAAAGCUCGGGCAUUGAUUAGUUUAAAAAGUUAUUCUUAGAAAAUCAAUAUAAACUCAGACUAAUUUCCAUAAGCCAAUGUGUACAGUAAAGGAGUCUGAUGCUUAUGUUUUGAGAGGCAGGAGUAACUCUCUCUGUCCUGACAGGCAAGCCCUUACUCCUCUGUAUAACAAGUAUGCCCAGUACUUUGUGUUCCACCCCAUCAUAUCAUAUUAAAUGAAUUUAACUUAGUUGUGCAUUGUUUGAAUAUGCAAGUGAUCCAGUAAAAUAAACUUUGAUGUCUUUAGUAGUGUUCAUGCCCCAUCAGCUUACAAGACGUAUUUUAUGACACUCGUGUUUACUCACUCUGCCCUGAUUCUCAAGCCUCUACUCCUCUGUGCAGCAGGUGACUGAAUAGACCACGGGUGGUCGUUGUACGCCAGGACGACGUCCAACACCAGUAUGGAGAUGGAAGAAGGCUGUUAAGAUCUGAUAGCAUCGUGUAACACGGUGGUAUGAUGAGCUGAGAUCUUACGUGAAGACAGCGAUCAGAGGAGGUGGCCAGAAUGUGUUUGUUGUCCACGUGUUGAUCUCAUGUGUGGAAUAAAUACGACCAGCUCAUAAGCAUUGGUACGAGUCCACAACAAUAAGUAGUGUUACUUAUUGGGUGUGUUAUUCAUCCGGUUAUCCAUGUAUGUAAUCUCAGUUGUAUGGAUGUCUGUUGUGAACAAGUGUAUGAGGGUCGCCACUUUACUUGUCGGCGAAUGUAACAAAGUAGUGCAAGGAUGCUAUUAGUCCUGGUGCAAGGAGGCUAUUAGUCCUGGUGCAAGGAGGCUAUUAGUCCUGGUGCUAUUGAAGUAUUAGUGUGGUGCUAUUACUAAGCGACCUGUUAGUACGUAAGAGCUAAAUGUAAGGGUGUUGCUCAAGUGUGUUACAUGUAAGAUUAUAAUGUCUCAUUAUUAAGUAAACCAAGUAAUGGUGGUUGUUGAAAGGUGUAACUAAUUGAGAAGAACAAAAUGAGUGAAACUAUGGAGAUGAUCCUUGUAGUUUUGUAUUAUUGAAAGUAGUC